ACAUUUAAAGGCAUAAAGUAUUUACUCACUCCCUGGCCACAGCCACCGUUACCUUCUCAAUCCCAACUUCGGAUAUAAUUAUUGAUAUAUUUAUAACGAGUUUAUGAAGAAUGUGAAAAAGAUCUGACCACCCUAGCUAUGGACUGAAGUUGGAGCCUCUUUUCUAAUAUAAUGCAAUUGACCAAGACUGCUUGGGAGCAGCUGUCAGUAUUGUUUAAAGCUGUCAUUCAAUAUGGCCAAACUCUUUGUUAUCUAAAACCCCUUGUCUGAUCUGUUGCCUCUGUUUCACUUUUCCAAUUAGAUGAAUGACAGAAACAAAAAAUCGUAAUAAAUAUUGUCAAAUCUGAUUUUA
rnacentral:lncRNA from 1 species